GGGCCGCUCCCGGGAGCGGCAGCCCCUGCCCGUCUGGGGGACGCGGGUUGUCCCGGCCAAGGAGUUCAGAUGUGGCAGCCGUGACGGGUUUUUCGGGGUUUACUCCCCCUCCCCGGCCUAGGCAAGUGUUGAAAUCAUCAGCACGUCCCAGCUCUUCGGCAGCGGCCGAGCUAGUGCUGCUCCGGGAACGAAACCCGGUGGGAACGGCGGGUGCUCCGCCGCGGAGCGUGGCCCCCGGGCUGUGUCCCGGCGGGGGGCUCGGGUGUCCGAGGGCCCGAGCGGCAGCGCGGAGGCCUCCGGCGCCGGCCGGGCCCGCCUCCCGAGCGGCCUCGGCGGGAGGAGCGAGGCCGCCCUGCGGCUUCUGCCUGGAGCCGCCGCAAAUAACGCUUUCAAAAUGCCUUUGGCUCAAAGAAGCAUGAAGGGUGGCGAAUAAGCAGGAUUCUCUCAAUCUCGAAGUCAAAAUUUAUGAACAAUCUCAUGAACUAUUUGAGAAUGUGCUUGUAACUGCAUUAGCACCACACAUCACAGUGAUGCCUAAUUUCUAACUCCCUCAGAACCACAUGGUUUUAAAUCUUCGGAAUGAGCUGAAUCAUGAUGAAGUGUUUGUUCUGCUAAUACAAGCUUUUCCUCAGGACAAGGUCAAAUAUAUGCCUGCCUGAGAGGGUGGAGACUGCACUGACUGCCUGCAUAUGGCCUGAGGCUGCAUGUACAGCGACUGAGAUGAGGAUGGAGGGGGCAGAGGUCCACUGCAACUGCUCAGGCUUGUGACUCGAACAUGCUUGCUCAUCCUUGUGAAACAAGGUAACUAGGACUAUAAAACAGGUGUCUGCAAUCAUGGGCUUGGGGACCCUCACUGACACCAGCUCUCCCCGUUGGCUGGCGCAACGCUGGAUCCAGGACUGGUGACUUUCUGUUAUCUAUCUCUCUAAACUUUUCUUCUCCUACUCUCUCUCUCUCUCUUCCUUCCUAUCAUCCUUAAGUAAUGCAAGGCCUAACCAUGAUUUUUUCCUCAGGUUGUGCAGCUUAAACAUAUAUGUAUUGUACUCUUGUGAUCUAAUUUAUCAUGCAGCCUCCUUCUAUAGCCUUAAGUAAACCUAAUAUUAAAAUACAGACCUGGAGUGUCGUUUCACCUUAAUCUGAUCAAGGGGUAUUGGAUGGUUGAGCAUUUCCUUGGACCCUCACAUUUUCCCUGGAAGGGCCAGGUUUGAGACACAGGUUGGAUCCAGCUGCGUCUAAGCUCCUCUCUGAGAAGGAGUUUAGAAAGCAAGGGAGUCCAAUCUGAAUCUCCUUGAUUUCCCCUACUUGGGUCCUGACAGUGUUGUGGUCAGUUCAUCACACAUGUCUGCUACUUCUUCUUCCUCAUUCUCUUCCCCUGCUCCAUCAUGGGGUCUCAGCCCUGGGAGACAGUCCUCUAUGAAAUUCUCCAAUGUGUGGUGAGUUGACCCUGGCAGGACUCCAGAUGCCCAUGAAGCCCCUCUAUCACUCCCCUUCUCAGCAGGAUAGGGGCUAGAAAAUAAGGUGGAAAAAUCUUGUAUGUCAAGAUUCAGGUAGUUUAAUAAAGCAGGAAAAAAGCAUGUUUAAUAAAGCAUUUCUUCAAUAACUGUUUCAGUGUGGGUCCUUUCAUGGCAGCAGGUGGAUAUCUCUUCCACCACUAACGUCCAGGGACUACAGGAGGACAGGCUGCCUCACUGUGGCCUUCACCAUGAGCUACAGAGGAAUCUCUGCUCCAGCACUUGGAGCACCUCCUCCUCUCCUUUGUCUUGGUUUCUGCAGGGCUGUUUCUCUCACAUAUUCUCACUCCUCUCUCUCACCUACAGUUGCACAGCAGUUUUUUCCCCUUCUUAAAUAUGUCAUCAUAGAAGCUAAAGCCGUUGCUGAUGGGCUCCGCCUUGGCCAGCAGACAGGUCUGUCUUGGAGCCAGCUGGCACUGACUCUGUCAGACAUGGGAGAAUGUUCAGGCAUCUUCUCACAAAAGCCACCUGUGUAACCCCCUUGCUACCAAAACAUUGCUGCAUAAACCAAAUACACAGUAUUACAGAUACCUUUGACACCCUUAUGUUGAAAUGCGUCCUGGGCGUGUUUCAGGAAUACAUUAUCUGAUACAUAAUUCUGUGAAUGUUUAAGUACUCUUACAUAUCAAUAAAUUAUAAAUAUAUGCAAAUAAAUCUUUACUUCU